GACGAACGCUGGCGGCGUGCUUAACACAUGCAAGUCGAACGGAAAGGCCCUGCUUUUGUGGGGUGCUCGAGUGGCGAACGGGUGAGUAACACGUGAGUAACCUGCCCUUGACUUUGGGAUAACUUCAGGAAACUGGGGCUAAUACCGGAUAGGAGCUCCUGCUGCAUGGUGGGGGUUGGAAAGUUUCGGCGGUUGGGGAUGGACUCGCGGCUUAUCAGCUUGUUGGUGGGGUAGUGGCUUACCAAGGCUUUGACGGGUAGCCGGCCUGAGAGGGUGACCGGCCACAUGGGGACUGAGAUACGGCGCAGACGGCAACGGGAGGCAGCAGUGGGGAAUAUGGCACAAUGGGGGGAAGCCUGAUGCAGCAACGCCGCGUGCGGGAUGACGGCCUUCGGGUUGUAAACCGCUUUCGCCUGUGACGAAGCGUGAGUGACGGUAAUGGGUAAAGAAGCACCGGCUAACUACGUG
rnacentral:rRNA from 1 species